GACGAACGCUGGCGGCGUGCCUAAUACAUGCAAGUCGAGCGAGGCUCUUCGGAGUCUAGCGGCGGACGGGUGAGUAACACGUGGGCAAUCUGCCUGUAAGACUGGGAUAACACCGGGAAACCGGUGCUAAUACCGGAUAAUCCUUUUCCUCUCAUGAGGAAAAGCUGAAAGUCGGUUUCGGCUGACACUUACAGAUGGGCCCGCGGCGCAUUAGCUAGUUGGUGAGGUAACGGCUCACCAAGGCGACGAGGCGUAGCCGACCUGAGAGGGUGAUCGGCCACACUGGGACUGAGACACGGCCCAGACUCCUACGGGAGGCAGCAGUAGGGAAUCUUCCACAAUGGACGAAAGUCUGAUGGAGCAACGCCGCGUGAGCGAUGAAGGCCUUCGGGUCGUAAAGCUCUGUUGUUAGGGAAGAACAAGUACCGGAGUAACUGCCGGUACCUUGACGGUACCUAACCAGAAAGCCACGGCUAACUACGUGCCAGCCGCCGCCGUAAUAC
rnacentral:rRNA from 1 species